rnacentral:rRNA from 1 species
AGUGAACGCUGGCGGUAGGCCUAACACAUGCAAGUCGAACGGCAGCACAGUAAGAGCUUGCUCUUACGGGUGGCGAGUGGCGGACGGGUGAGGAAUACAUCGGAAUCUACUUUUUCGUGGGGGAUAACGUAGGGAAACUUACGCUAAUACCGCAUACGACCUACGGGUGAAAGCAGGGGAUCUUCGGACCUUGCGCGAUUGAAUGAGCCGAUGUCGGAUUAGCUAGUUGGCGGGUUAAAGGCCCACCAAGGCGACGAUCCGUAGCUGGUCUGAGAGGAUGAUCAGCCACACUGGAACUGAGACACGGUCCAGACUCCUACGGGAGGCAGCAGUGGGGAAUAUUGGACAAUGGGCGCAAGCCUGAUCCAGCCAUACCGCGUGGGUGAAGAAGGCCUUCGGGUUGUAAGGCCCUUUUGUUGGGAAAGAAAAGCAGCAGGUUAAUACCCCGCUGUUCUGACGGUACCCAAAGAAUAAGCACCGGCUAACUUCGUG